rnacentral:rRNA from 1 species
GACGAACGCUGGCGGCGUGCUUAACACAUGCAAGUCGAACGGAAAGGCCCUGCUUUUGUGGGUUGCUCGAGUGGCGAACGGGUGAGUAACACGUGAGUAACCUGCCCUUGACUUUGGGAUAACUUCAGGAAACUGGGGCUCAUACCGGAUAGGAGCUCCUGCUGCAUGGUGGGGGUUGGAAAGUUUCGGCGGUUGGGGCUGGACUCGCGGCUUAUCAGCUUGUUGGUGUGGUAGUGGCUUACCAAGGCUUUGACGGGUAGCCGGCCUGAGAGGGUGACCGGGCACAAUGGGACUGAGGGAGGGCGCAGAAUCGUACGGGAGGCAGCAGGGGGGAAUAUUGCACAAUGGGCGGAAGCCUGAGGCAGAAACGCCGCGUGCGGGAUGACGGCCUUCGGGGUGUAAACCGCUGUGGCCUGUGACGAAGCGGGAGUGACGGUAAUGGGUAAAGAAGCACCGGCUAACUACGUG